UUUGGUUACCUUAUGGUGUUAUAUGAGAUGUGACAAGAGCUGCAGUUAGUUGUAUCAAUGUUCAGGAAUGUUGAGUAGCAGAUUACGGAAUCGACGUUUUUUAAUUCUUCUAACUACAGCGUGAACGUAUAAAUGUACUGUUGUGGAAAUGGAUGUCACUGGUUGUAUCAUGUAUCUGCUUGCCACUCUUUACCCCGCAGAUUUGAUCCUUCGUAAACACAUCGCAGUCAGAGUUCGAAUCAUUUUAGUGCCACAAAGACCUAUUGUGAAAACAUCGGCUUACUUCUAUCUUCGAAGUAUGAUCUAUUGAAACAGUACCAAAUGAAAUUUUCCUUUCAGCAUUUGUUAACAAGUUCUGUAAAUGCCUAAGGCCUGUCCUCGACGAUACCCGAGAAUAGACAACAGCAACAGCAAAAAGGAGGUUCCUUUCAUAAACUUUAAAAAUUCUAUUCACACACAUUCUAUUUUCACACUCAAAAUAGUUACUAUACAUAAUUAUGAUACAAGAUUACAUACUACAAUGCCAAAGAAACAACACAAAAACCAAAACACGGAAGUAUAUGUCGAAAAGGUAGGAGAAAAUGAAUAAUAUUCCGACUGGAAGCGUCCUAAACAGUGAAAUAAAUAAAUAUGAAUAUAAAAAUUUUAACAACAAAAGCGUUAUGGCCCCUUAAUGCAGCAGCUGUGUUAAAGCAAACCUUCCCUUAAUACAAACCUUCCCUUAAUACAACUAAAUACGACAUUUUAGCUCUAACGCAGUCACAAUAAAACAUUGUUUCCGACAGGAAAGGUCAACGAGAAAAAUUGGAUAUACCUAUUUACGAAAGGAUGU